GUGAGAUAUGGAGGUGGUGGGAAAUCGAAGAUUAUUGUUGUGUGAUUGUUAUUAUUGAUUUCGAAUCUUGAUCUUGUUAGUGUUGCUGUUCUUGUUCUGUUAUCAAUGUGAUUGCUGUUUGAGAAAAUAUGCUUUCUAAUAUGUGUGAGUACAUUCCAAGUCCAAGUGGGUAAGGUAAUUGGUAGGUUUAUGCAGAGAAAUUGAAUGGUUGGUAUGCAAUUGAAUUAUUGUCCUGUUAUCAGU
rnacentral:misc_RNA from 1 species